AUUGAACGCUGGCGGCAGGCUUAACACAUGCAAGUCGAACGAGUGGCGGACGGGUGAGUAAUGAUUGGGGAUCUAGCUUAUGGAGGGGGAUAACUACGGGAAACUGUAGCUAAUACCGCGUACCCUAGGAUGAGCCCACGUUGGUAUAGGUAGUUGGUGGGGUAAAGGCUCACCAAGCCGACGAUCCAUAGCUGGGCUGCGAGGAUGACCAGCCACACUGGGACUGAGACAAGGCCCAGACUCCUACGGGAGGCAGCAGUGGGGAAUAUUGCGCAAUGGGGGCAACCUGACGCAGCCAUGCCGCGUGUAUGAAGAAGGCCUUAGGGUUGUAAAGUUCUUUCGGUAGCGAGGCGUUAACUACAGAAGAAGCACCGGCUAACUCCGUGCCAGCAGCCGCGGUAAUAC
rnacentral:rRNA from 1 species